GCGAGUAUGGCCCUCACGGGUCUAAUCCACCACAAACACCUUUGUAAACCAGUCAGGGGGACUCGGCCGUGAAAGCCCAGGCGAUUAGCGGAAGGGCCCUCCUUUGCAAACCCGUUUAGAAGUCUUGAAAGUACUUUUGUAUAAUCUAGUA
rnacentral:misc_RNA from 1 species